rnacentral:ncRNA from 13 species
CCAACGGCCCUCUUUAGGGCCACAAUAUAUCCAAUAAUCCAAUUAU